rnacentral:rRNA from 1 species
UACGGAGGGUGCAAGCGUUGUCCGGAAUCACUGGGCGUAAAGGGCGCGUAGGCGGCUCAUGAAGGCUGUGGUGAAAGUCCGGGGCUCAACCUCGGAUCGGCCGUGGCGACUCGUGGGCUGGAGCACUGUAGAGGCGGGUGGAAUUCCGGGUGUAGCGGUGGAAUGCGUAGAGAUCCGGAAGAACACCAGUGGCGAAGGCGGCCUGCUGGGCAGUAGCUGACGCUGAUGCGCGACAGCGUGGGGAGCAAACAGG